CUGCCUUGCUCCGGUGAGUGCCGCCGGUGCCGGACCCUGCCCGCCGCUGUAGCACUGCCCUCCGGCAGCUGAGGCACCGGAGAAGAGCAAGUCUCAGGGCAGAAGGCUGUGUAUGACCUAUAGAAGGAAACUCUUGAUUUAUGAACAUUAAACACUGAUUGCUCCUACAAGCCACUGGCACAAUUUCUGUACUAAGGCUGGCAUCUACUGCUAUACAGGAAACACAUUGUGAUUUGGAAGGAUCAAAGGAAAGUGUUUCACAGGCAGUUCACUCCUGCGUCCUUAGAUACCAUCGUGGUGGCAGUGCCUCCUUCUGCAAGGUAAACAGCAGUGCUGGAU